rnacentral:rRNA from 1 species
UACGAAGGGGGCUAGCGUUGUUCGGAAUUACUGGGCGUAAAGCGCACGUAGGCGGAUCGAUCAGUCAGGGGCGAAAUCCCAGGGCUCAACCCUGGAACUGCCUUUGAUACUGUCGAUCUGGAGUAUGGAAGAGGUGAGUGGAAUUCCGAGUGUAGAGGUGAAAUUCGUAGAUAUUCGGAGGAACACCAGUGGCGAAGGCGGCUCACUGGUCCAUUACUGACGCUGAGGUGCGAAAGCGUGGGGAGCAAACAGG